CUGAAGAUAGAGGCUGACGAAUUGGUGAAACACAUUGUUAUCUAUUUGGCUUUAAGCAUUCCCAUUCUUCCUCCUUCCCUCCUACUGGCUGGGCUGCACAGCUGAGCCUGAGUCAGCUUACCAAAGUUAUCAGCACAAGUGAAUCACUUCCAUAUGAAGCUGAUCAGGGAACAGUACCAGAAAUGCUCAGAGCAGAGAGCUGGAACUUCUGGGACCACAGGACCAUGGAUGGUGCUUCCAGGCAAGAAGCAUCUGUAACUACUGGGUAAUUAAAAAAAGAAAAUUAAAACUCACAUCUUGUGCACAAAAAUUUACCUCUUUUUU